rnacentral:rRNA from 1 species
AGCGAAUAACACGGUAUCGUUAGGAGCAGUAGGGACUUCGGCGGUAAGUCUGGGAUUAACGGCAAAUUACGCACGUACCGGAGGGCAGGUGACUGCAGGGAAUGUGCAAUCGAUUAUUGGCGUGCGAAAGCGUGGGGAGCAAACAGGAUUAGAUACCCUGGUAGUCCACGCCGUAAACGAUGUCGACUUGGAGGUUGUGCCCUUGAGGCGUGGCUUCCGGAGCUAACGCGUUAAGUCGACCGCCUGGGGAGUACGGCCGCAAGGUUAAAACUCAAAUGAAUUGACGGGGGCCCGCACAAGCGGUGGAGCAUGUGGUUUAAUUCGAUGCAACGCGAAGAACCUUACCUGGUCUUGACAUCCACAGAACUUUCCAGAGAUGGAUUGGUGCCUUCGGGAACUGUGAGACAGGUGCUGCAUGGCUGUCGUCAGCUCGUGUUGUGAAAUGUUGGGUUAAGUCCCGCAACGAGCGCAACCCUUAUCCUUUGUUGCCAGCGGUCCGGCCGGGAACUCAAAGGAGACUGCCAGUGAUAAACUGGAGGAAGGUGGGGAUGACGUCAAGUCAUCAUGGCCCUUACGACCAGGGCUACACACGUGCUACAAUGGCGCAUACAAAGAGAAGCGACCUCGCGAGAGCAAGCGGACCUCAUAAAGUGCGUCGUAGUCCGGAUUGGAGUCUGCAACUAGACUCCAUGAAGUCGGAAUCGCUAGUAAUCGUGGAUCAGAAUGCCACGGUGAAUACGUUCCCGGGCCUUGUACACACCGCCCGUCACACCAUGGGAGUGGGUUGCAAAAGAAGUAGGUAGCUUAACCUUCGGGAGGGCGCUUACCACUUUGUGAUUCAUGACUGGGGUGAAGUCGUAACAAGGUAACCGUAGGGGAACCUGCGGUUG